UACGUAGGGUCCGAGCGUUGUCCGGAAUUACUGGGCGUAAAGAGCUCGUAGGUGGUUUGUCGCGUUGUUCGUGAAAACUCACAGCUUAACUGUGGGCGUGCGGGCGAUACGGGCAGACUGGAGUACUGCAGGGGAGACUGGAAUUCCUGGUGUAGCGGUGGAAUGCGUAGAUAUCGGGAAGAACACCAGUGGCGAAAGCGGCUCUCUGGGGACCACCUGACGCUGAGGCGCGAAAGCGUGGGGAGCGAACCGG
rnacentral:rRNA from 1 species